rnacentral:rRNA from 1 species
CCUACGGGAGGCAGCAGUGGGGAAUAUUGCGCAAUGGGCGAAAGCCUGACGCAGCGACGCCGCGUGAGGGAUGAAGGUCUUCGGAGUGUAAACCUCUGUCAGCAGGGAAGUACGGUCACUGUGCUAAUCAGCAGUGAAUUGACGGUACCUGCAAAGGAAGCACCGGCUAACUCCGUGCCAGCAGCCGCGGUAAUACGGAGGGGGCGAGCGUUAAUCGGAAUUAUUGGGCGUAAAGCGCUCGUAGGCGGUAUGGCAAGUCAAGGGUGAAAUCCCCGCGCUCAACGUGGGAACUGCCUUUGAAACUGGCAAACUGGAGUGUGUGAGAGGAUAGUGGAAUUCCAGGUGUAGGAGUGAAAUCCGUAGAUAUCUGGAGGAACAUCAGUGGCGAAGGCGACUAUCUGGCACAUAACUGACGCUGAGGAGCGAAAGCGUGGGUAGCAAACAGGAUUAGAUACCCCGGUAGUC